rnacentral:tRNA from 1 species
GCGCCCGUAGCUCAGGGGAUAGAGCGUCCGCCUCCUAAGCGGAAGGUCGUUGGUUCAAUUCCAACCGGGCGCGCCA